AAGUGUGUCUGGUAGAAGUUGUUACAUGCAUUUGAUGUGACACGGACAUAUCUACAUGCGGUAUGAUCCUUUGAUAUUUACUCUAUUAAAAAGUAACUCAAGGGGAUAUUAUCAUCAUAAGUUUAUUUUCUUUCAUGUGCAGUUAUAUUUUUUGUCUUGUAAAAAUUGCUUAAUUUUGAUGUGCCAUAUGUACCUCCAUUUCAAGUCUUUACCAUGGUGCCAUAGUGACAAAAUGAUGGUAAGCUAUUUUGUGAAAGUUUGUUGGGAUCAUGCAU
rnacentral:misc_RNA from 1 species